CAGUCUGCAACUCGACUGCGUGAAGUCGGAAUCGCUAGUAAUCGCGGAUCAGCAUGCCGCGGUGAAUACGUUCCCGGGCCUUGUACACACCGCCCGUCACACCAUGAGAGUCGGGAACACCCGAAGUCCGUAGCCUAACCGCAAGGGGGCGCGGCCGAAGGUGGGUUCGAUAAUUGGGGUGAAGUCGUAACAAGGUAGC
rnacentral:rRNA from 1 species